rnacentral:misc_RNA from 1 species
GCAAACUUGGUCAUUUAGAGGAAGUAAAAGUCGUAACAAGGUUUCCGUAGGUGAACCUGCGGAAGGAUCAUUACAAAUGACCUGCAUAGGUCUGAGUAACCCACUUAAGGCUGGAGACAGCCAAAAGUGACCACCCUUUGUGAAACUUCUCCAUUGCUUCGGCAGCACUAUUGAGGGCAACCGCAGUAGGUAAGGCUGCCAGAAGCCUACAGUUAAACCAGUUGAUAAUUAAAUCAUGCUGUCUGACUACAAUUUUGAGAAAUCAAAUAAGUUAAAACUUUCAGCAACGGAUCUCUUGGUUCUCGCAUCGAUGAAGAACGCAGC